GCCACCCGCCUUCCCGCGCUCCCCACUCUGAUACACGCGGGCAGAGUCGCUUCCGCACUUUAUUAGACAGCGGGGACAGGCGGGGGUGGCGCCGCGCUGCCUUCAGGCUCCCUCCGUCGCCUACAGGUCCCUCGAGGGCUCGGCGGCUGUGGUGCACCAGCAGGGACUGGGGCGUCCGUGGGAGACGAGAGCCAGAUCCCCCGGCCAAUACGGUAGAUCUGCCAGGAGAAGAUCAGGGCACGUGGCAAAUCGCAGGGGGCCUCCGGAGCCAGUGGGAUGUCUGUCCCCACCAGCAUGUGUGCUUAGACCCAGGCACUGGAGGGGCAUUUCAGAGCCUUCGGGGGACCAGGCAGUGUCUGCGUCACGCACCCCACCCCCUGGGGUCUGGUCAUGAGUGUCCCUCCACCACCCGGACUGGGGACACACCUUCUUG